rnacentral:pre_miRNA from 1 species
GGCCUCCCUCUGUGGGGUGAUUGAUAGCGGGGCUCUGUGAUUGAUGGCUCCACAGAGGGAGACC